CAGAGUUGAUCCUGGCUCAGGACGAACGCUGGCGGCGUGCCUAACACAUGCAAGUCGAGCGAUGAAGCCCUUCGGGGUGNAUUAGCGGCGGACGGGUGAGUAACACGUGGGUAACCUGCCUUAUAGAGGGGGAUAGCCUUCCGAAAGGAAGAUUAAUACCGCAUGAAAUGUUUUUAUCGCAUGGUAGAAACAUCAAAGGAGUAAUCCGCUAUAAGAUGGACCCGCGGCGCAUUAGCUAGUUGGUGAGGUAACGGCCCACCAAGGCGACGAUGCGUAGCCGACCUGAGAGGGUGAUCGNCCACAUUGGAACUGAGACACGGUCCAGACUCCUACGGGAGNCAGCAGUGGGGAAUAUUGCNCAAUGGGGGAAACCCUGACGCAGCAACNCCGCGUGAAUGAAGAAGGCCUUAGGGUUGUAAAGUUCUGUUUUCUGGGACGAUAAUGANGUACCAGAGGAGAA
rnacentral:rRNA from 1 species